rnacentral:rRNA from 1 species
CGACAGGCCCGGGUAAUCUUGGGAAAUUUCAUCGUGAUGGGGAUAGAUCAUUGCAAUUGUUGGUCUUCAACGAGGAAUGCCUAGUAAGCGCGAGUCAUCAGCUCGCGUUGACUACGUCCCUGCCCUUUGUACACACCGCCCGUCGCUCCUACCGAUUGAAUGGUCCGGUGAAGUGUUCGGAUCGCGGCGACGGGGGCGGUUCGCCGCCCCCGACGUCGCGAGAAGUCCAUUGAACCUUAUCAUUUAGAGGAAGGAGAAGUCGUAACAAGGUUUCCGUAGGUGAACCUGCGGAAGGAUCAUUG